CCGACCUUCCCUUUGAUGCCUUUGGGGUUUCCUUUUCUCCACGCUCUCAUUGGAGACCCAAGCUCCCCAGAUCCCAUUCUCCUCCAACUGGUGAUUUACAUACUUAAACUGUCUGCAAACUCCCUUCGCCUGGUAGUUCAGUGGGUUCUCACAUCCUCAAGAUUCCCAAAGCAAAGAUUACCUUUCUCAAAACCUCCCCUGAUACUAUUACCUCAGUGUAAGGCAUCAUUCAUCAAAUAAAAAUGAAAACCGAAUGGGACAUUUUCUUGUCUCCCCUCCCUGGAGCUCUAUUUCACUAACACCCAGUAUAAAACAGCGUACUGAGACAGUCUCGUCUCGCCUCCUCCAAGUGUUCAUCUUUGGUCUCCAGCCAGCCCUUGUCUACAUUCUCAGCCUCUCCUGUUUUGCUCUCUGCUUGAUUUAUUCUCACUUGACCACUUCCCACAGGAAACAAGUACCUCUUUUCACUUCUCCCCUAACAUUUUACACAUAUCUCAAACCUUGGGAUACUUUCAAGUAGAAGCGGAAUGCAAUGACUUAAGUACGUAGCCUCUGAACUCAGCUUCACCACUUACCAGCAGACAGCUUACUUAACCUCUCUUAACCUUACUUAAUCGUCGUUCUCACAUCCACAGAUUGGAAGACGACCAUAGUACACAAGGCCAUCAGAGACAUUGCCACCUAAGAGUAAUAACCUGCCACCUAUAUUCCACCAGCAAAUGGCUAUCAUUUCCACCUCUUUACCAAUCAUAAUAGCACUUACCCGUGAAUUACAGCAGAGUGCUGUGAAAUAUUAUGUGGAAAAUGUAUUUCUUCAGUUAUAUGACCAAAUCAAGCCCUCAGGUCUGGUACUGGCACAAAGACAGAAAUAUAGAUCAAUGGAACAAAAUAGAAAGCCCAGAGAUAAAUCCACACACAUAUGGACACCUUAUCUUUGACAAAGGAGGCAAGAAUAUACAAUGGAUUAAAGACAAUCUCUUUAACAAGUGAUGCUGAGAAAACUGGUCAACCACUUGUAAAAGAAUGAAACUAGAACACUUUCUAACAC
ensembl:lncRNA